rnacentral:lncRNA from 1 species
CAGGCAGGAGACAGCGACUGCUUGGUCCGGGGCAGGUGAGCGCAGCGCAGGCCAGGGCCCUACCUGUCCACGGUGCGCGCGAGCGGCCAGCAGAGGGCGCCAGAGGACCACGAGCGGCCCGCGGAGGAGUCCGCGCCGGCCCCGAUGCCCAGCUCCGCGCCGCGCGGACCCACCGAGCCCGCGCUCAGACGCCCCAGCUCCGCCGAGAGGCCGCUCGCUCCGGGUCCUUCCUCUUCCCCAGGUGCAGGCAGAGCCCCCGGGGCCAUGGCCAGCCCUUCCGGCAGCUCCGAAGCCCCUGGCAAGCCCCGAGGCAGGGAUGGCCGGCCCAGGAGGGAGGAGGACGACGUCCCUCCCGAAGAGAAGAGGCUGCGGCUCUUGCUGGAGGGGGGAAGCGCACAGCCCCAGGACUGCGAGGACGGGCAGGACGCGCCGCGGUCGGCCAGGAAGGAGACCGGCACCCAGACAGGUGGCGACGGCAGAGGAAUAACUUCACUCUUCUCUGCAACGAAUCCCAAAAGUAUAUAAUUGAGCUGACUGCAAGGUACUUGACACGCAAGAGACUCCACAAAUGGGAUUCAGCCUCUGGAAAGUGGUGGUAGUUCCAGAUUUAUGUGGAUGUUACUUUGUUUUUCCCUAUAAAAUAUAUUAUUUAAACUAUCAAAAAAAAAAAAAAAAAAAAAAA